GGGGGAGGGCAAAGAUGGGGGCUUCAAAAGGAGGGAGUUUCAAAUCCUGUUUAAAGGCAAGCCUCGGGCCUAGCAAAAUCACUCCGGCUGCAGUCUUCCUUGGCUUCCUUCUGGCCUGCUGCAGCUGCUGUUGUGGUACAGGGAAGAGCUAGGCCUACUACUGUAUUCAGCAAAUCCUGGUAAACCUCUGAUCUAAGUGAAAAAAGUUUUUAUAGGCUAGAAACUCCUCUUGGAUAAUAUGGGGAAAACGAGUAAAACCAAGACCACCAAGGCUGCUUCAGUGCUUCUGAAAGUCUUAUCUGAGACUCCCUGGAUUUUGGAGAGCAGAACAAAGUAUAUCUAUUUCAAUUCCAGAAUUCUUGAAAUUCUCCUGCAUAAACAAGAAUUCAGGAAGAAUGGAAUGCGAGGAAGAGAGAACUUGAUAUCGAUGUUUUAUUAUUAAAAUGGAAAUGCAGGAGAUAAAUGUAUGUGAUCAACAAACCAGCCAAGCAGAGGAACAAUAAAGGAACAGAAGGCACGGGGAGUCUUUACAGCCCUACUCAAGAUUGUUCUAGAGAUUACUGAAGUGACAAGAGAUCCUUAUUAGAAA